rnacentral:rRNA from 1 species
CCUACGGGGGGCAGCAGUAGGGAAUAUUGGACAAUGGGGGCAACCCUGAUCCAGCCAUGCCGCGUGUGUGAAGAAGGCCCUCGGGUUGUAAAGCACUUUCAGUGAGGAAGAACGCCUGGUGGUUAAUACCCAUCAGGAAAGACAUCACUCACAGAAGAAGCACCGGCUAACUCCGUGCCAGCAGCCGCGGUAAUACGGAGGGUGCGAGCGUUAAUCGGAAUUACUGGGCGUAAAGCGCGCGUAGGUGGCUUGAUAAGCCGGUUGUGAAAGCCCCGGGCUCAACCUGGGAACGGCAUCCGGAACUGUCAAGCUAGAGUGCAGGAGAGGAAGGUAGAAUUCCCGGUGUAGCGGUGAAAUGCGUAGAGAUCGGGAGGAAUACCAGUGGCGAAGGCGGCCUUCUGGACUGACACUGACACUGAGGUGCGAAAGCGUGGGUAGCAAACAGGAUUAGAUACCCCGGUAGUC